CUACGGCCAUAUCAUGUUGAAACAACGGCUCUCGUACGAACAUCAAAGUAAAGCAACCUCAAGAUGGGUCAGUACCCAGCCGGGUGACCGCUUGGGAAUACCAGGUGCUGUAAG